UGUCUCUAUGCGGCCGCCGUGCGCACGAGAACGUUUUGUGUCUUUCUGUCCCUCUUCGGCCGCCUUCCGUCUUCAUUACUGGAGAGAUUUAAAUUGAGGAAAGCCUCUCUUUUCCCAAUAUUCGAGGGGAUUAAGUUAAAGGGCAGAAGCUAUUUAUUUGCCAUGGUAUCCAUUUCAGUGGAGGCAACUUCCCCAUUUCUUCAUUUUAAGGGAUUAAUUUGAAGGAGGCUCUUCUAAAAUGCUUUUUCAGCAUUUAAAACUACUUUUCAGGGCGCUUCUUUCUGUGCCCUAGGACUAAGUACCUCAGAGAAAGGCAAGCCUAGCACGUACUUAACCUUUAUGCUGCCCAGGAGCCUAUUAUUUUUCUUAUUUUUAUUUAUAAUGUAGUUAGUCCUAAUUGGUAGCCCCAAGGAGACUUAAACUGUUCAUAUAAUUAGUAUUUUUCUCCACCCUUAGUCUCAUGUUGAGUACUACUUAGUAGUUAUUGAGGAAUAAUUAUAUAAGUUAACAGCAAAUUACCCAACUUAUCUCGAUAUGCUGCCUAAAAACAAAGUUUUAUUUCUUACCAGUUUUUUUGCCCUUUUGCUCCAAGCAGUUGUAGAAAAAAGAAAGAGCUGUCAUUUCCCUGAAGAGCUUUCUUCUAUAUCCAGCCCUUUAUUCUCCUUGAAUUCAAGCCAGAGGAGCCAAACAGCCACAGUGCCUCUGAUGGCUUUUAUACUCGAUGGGGUUUGCCCCCUCCCUUUUCCCAGGUGCCACGGGAACGAGAGGUGGGCCCAAUCAGGGGUAUAUUAACCCCAGCCUUUCCCAAGGGGCUUCAUUCCUUCAGUGGGAUCAGCUGGGGUAAGAGCUUUCCUCUCAUUCAGGUGAAGAGGCUCCUUUAGCUUAGCUUGUUCUCUGCAGCUGCUUUUGGGCUUCUAAUGCAACAGAGGCUUUGAAGAUACUGCAAAGAAAACAACGUUGAACACAGGGAGUAUUUAAAUUCACAGUUUGGGGUUGAGUAUUCAGGGCUGGUAAGGUGCUUUUGUAAUUUCUGAUUUUUUUCUUCUUUUUUUAGGAGGAGGGUAACUUCCAGUAAUUGCAGUUUGUGUCGAGCGGAACAUUUUUCCAGCAGAUUUAUCAUGACGCAGAAGGCAUCCGCACUGUGUCGAAGGUGAUGUGUGAGACGGUGGCUUCAGGAGACUAAGAGGCUAACAGGCUAUCUCCUCUGAGCCAGACUCAUUUCAGGUCCAACGUGGAUUCACAUCACCAGUCAUCCAAAAGAUAAGUCAGGGCCAGGGCAUGGAGAUGGGAGCAGUGGCUUCCUUCUGCACCUGAUGGGGAUUUUCAUCCCCUGAUAUGUGCAAGAUAAGUGUAGGGCUACAACCCACAGAGGGGAUGGAAGAGAGGUGCUGGGUUGGGACUCCCCAGGAGGGGUUUUUGAGUCAAUUUUGGAGAUGGGGAUGCCCAAGAAGCGUCUCCUAAGGCCACCUAAAGGGAAAGCGUCUGUUUUGAUCUCAGUGCUGAGGUGCUCAGGGCAGAGCAGUGUUGGCGUGUGUCCUGUCACUUGUCUCCGGUGCACUCUAUGUUCUUUGGGUCUCUCAGUCCUUUCUUCUCCUCAAAAGCUUUCUGUCCCUGUCCUGUGUCACAGGUGUCUGCACAUAUUUUUCCUGGAGCUGCUCUGUCCUGUUGCAUAGCCUGUAAUAGCACAAGUCCUGGGGACUUGAAAUUUGUAAUGCCCGGUGUAGUUGGGCUCUAAAUUGUAUCAGGAGGUUGCCAUAACAUGUUUGGUGAUGCUAAGUUGUCCUGCAGCUGUUUGACAUUAGUCCUAAUUUCCUUUCAGAUGCAGGCAGUUCAAAUCGGUGGCAGAGGGCCCCAGUCCUGGGGGAGGGUGUUUCCAUGAGCAGGAGGUCCAGGUAGAUAGCACCAGUCAAGGCCAAGUGUGCCAGGGAAUCCACUCAGAGUAUGCCAAGCCUUUGUGACCGACAGCCGAUGGCCUGGAUUUCCUGUGCUUGUGAGCCCUCUGGAAAUAUUACAGGACUCUGAGAUGAAGCCUUGAAAUUUUGUAUUUAAAGAUGGCAUCCAGGUAGCCUUUGGCAAGGGCUGAGGAGUUGCAGUGAGUCGCCGAGGUAGGG